rnacentral:pre_miRNA from 1 species
AUAUAGGGCAAUCUGUCUUUAAGUAGGGAUAAAUUACUCAAAAAAAAAAAAAAAAGAAUCCUAUUUUUCCCUUCAAGUCAAGCAUCUUGG